rnacentral:tRNA from 1 species
GCGGGAGUAGCUCAUCUGGUAGAGCGACAGCCUUCCAAGCUGUAGGUGGCCGGUUCGAGCCCGGUUUCCCGCUCAA